rnacentral:antisense_RNA from 1 species
CUUUCCGUGCAUAAGAAGCCGAAUGAGGAAGACAAACAUAAAGAUGAAGUGCUUAAUUCAAGGUCACACAAUGUCGGGGAUGGACCUCCAGAUUUCCUUACUGGAAAACAAGCUCAGGGCUCCCACUGAUUGUACAUUAUGGUGAGACGUGGUCUUGUAACACAGUGGUUAAGAAUGUGACUUUGGAGCCAGCCUGCUAGGGGCUGAAUUCUGACUCAGCCAUUUACUAACUGUGUGACCUUAGGUGGAGUCUCACUCUGUAGCCCAAGCUGGAGUGGUGUGAUCUCGACUCACUGCAACCUCCGCCUCCUGGGCUCAAGUGAUUCUCGUGCCUCAGCCUCCUGAGUAGCUGGGACUACAGGUCACAGAAUUUUCCACACUCCUUGACGGAGGUGCUUAACCCUUAUCCAUCAGCAUUCUCAGACAGCACCUCCGGUUAGGGACAGUAUCUGACCGUCCGACAUCCCUGCAGCCCCCAUGUGUCACACAGACUCAGCCUCAGGUAGAUGGUUUCCGUAGAUGGUGGCUUUCUUUGGACCCUUGACAUCAACCAGUUACUAUUUGGGGACCAGAUGUGCAGAGGUAAUGAAUACCAGGGAAUC